rnacentral:rRNA from 1 species
CCCUUAGAUGUUCUGGGCCGCACGCGUGCUACACUGAUGCAUUCAACGAGUCUAAAACCUGGUCUGAUAGGGCUGGGUAAUCUUUUGAAAGUGCAUCGUGAUUGGGAUAGAUGAUUGCAAUUCUUCAUCUUCAACGAGGAAUGCCUAGUAAACGCAAGUCAUCAGCUUGCAUUGAUUACGUCCUUGCCCUUUGUACACACCGCCCGUCGCUCCUACCGAUUGAAUGAUCCGAUGAAUAUCAUGGAUUGAGAGUACGAAUGGGUUCGCUCAUUUCUGCUGCUCGAGAAGUGAAGUAAAUCUUAUCAUUUAGAGGAAGGAGAAGUCGUAACA